UACGUAGGGUGCGAGCGUUAAUCGGAAUUACUGGGCGUAAAGCGUGCGCAGGCGGUUGUGCAAGACAGAUGUGAAAUCCCCGGGCUCAACCUGGGAACUGCAUUUGUGACUGCACGGCUGGAGUGCGGCAGAGGGGGAUGGAAUUCCGCGUGUAGCAGUGAAAUGCGUAGAUAUCAGGAGGAACACCGGUGGCGAAGGCGGAUCUCUGGGCCUGUUCUGACGCUGAGGCGCGAAAGCUAGGGGAGCGAACAGG
rnacentral:rRNA from 1 species